rnacentral:tRNA from 1 species
GCCGGGGUAGCUCAGUAGGUAGAGCACGGGACUGAAAAUCCCGGUGUGGGCGGUUCGAUUCCGCCCCCCGGCA